rnacentral:tRNA from 1 species
GGCUGUGGCCCAGCAGUAGAGCGCUUGCCUAGAAUGUAUGAGGCCCUGGGUUCGAUUCUCAGCACCA